GGAGAGUUGGCAGAGCGGUUGAAUGCACCGGUCUUGAAAACCGGCGACGUCGCGAGGCGUCCGUGGGUUCGAAUCCCACACUCUCCG
rnacentral:tRNA from 1 species